rnacentral:rRNA from 1 species
AACGAACGUUGGCGGCGUGGAUUAGGCAUGCAAGUCGUACGAGAAAGCCCCUUCGGGGGUGAGUAAAGUGGCGAACGGGUGAGUAACACGUGGGAAACCUGCCCUCGAGUUGGGGAUAACAUUCCUAACGGAGUGCUAAUACCGAAUGACACAAUCGGGUCGCAUGGCCCGGUCGUCAAAGCUGGCCUCUACUUGUAAGCUAGCGCUUGAGGAUGGUCCCGCGGCCCAUUAGCUUGUUGGUGGGGUAACGGCCUACCAAGGCUACGAUGGGUAGCUGGUCUGAGAGGAUGGUCAGCCACACUGGGACUGAGAUACGGCCCAGACUCCUACGGGUGGCUG